rnacentral:rRNA from 1 species
AUGGAGACGAUUCGAAGAUACAACUACCACCAAUCUUCCAUAAGGGAGAUGCACAGAGGAAGAGAACUAACUUCAUAUAUCCCUUUUUUACUCAAUCAAGAAACAAGAUCGGACGUGAUUCCGGUUCGUCUCCAUUUUAGUGACACUCUUCCUCAAGCAAGGCAGCCGAUAAGUCAUCGAAGGGUUUGUUUGAAUAAUGGACUGGUAACCAUUACUCAUUUGAAAGUUUCCCACGGUGAUCUAAUAUCUUUUAAAGAAAAUGACGCGAGAACCCGCGGUUUUGAAAUAAGGAGAUCUUUCUAUAUCGACAUAUCAGUUGGAAAAAUCAUAGGCAAAUUCCUAUCGGCCAUAUCAGUUGGAAAAAGAAGAGGCAAAUUCCUACCGGCCAGAAUCUGGAGAAGAACAAAAAAAAAGAAUGGUUCCGCUUACUCACAACUCAGAGGGGAUGCCGCUUACUACUCAAAUCCAAGGAAUUGCAAAAGUUGCAUUCUUAUAUGCAAGAAGAAGACUUUGAAAGAACAAAGAAGUUUGGAUCCGCAAAAGUAUGCUUAG